rnacentral:rRNA from 1 species
AUACGUAGGUGACAAGCGUUAUCCGGAAUUAUUGGGCGUAAAGAGUGAGCAGGCGGUUAAUUAAGUCUGAGGUUAAAGCGUGGGGCUCAACCCCAUAAAGCCUUGGAAACUGAUUGACUAGAGUACGGGAGAAGUGAAGGGAACUCCAUGUGUAGCGGUGAAAUGCGUAGAUAUAUGGAAGAACACCAGUGGCGAAGGCGCUUCACUAGCCCGAAACUGACGCUCAGUCACGAAAGCGUGGGUAGCAAAUAGGAUUAGAUACCCUAGUAGUCCACGCUGUAAACGAUGACAACUAAAUAUUGCCGCGAGGCAGUGUUGAAGCUAACGCAUUAAGUUGUCCGCCUGGGGAGUACGGUCGCAAGACUGAAACUUAAAGGAAUUGGCGGGG